GACGAACCGUGCAAACGUUGUUCGGAAUCAUUGGGCGUAAAGGGCGCGUAGGUGGCGGGACAAGCGUGCGGUGAAAGCUCGGGGCUCAACCCCGAGUCGGCCGUGCGAACUGUUUUGCUUGAGCACUGUAGAGGCAGGCGGAAUUCCGGGUGUAGCGGUGGAAUGCGUAGAGAUCCGGAAGAACACCGGUGGCGAAGGCGGCCUGCUGGGCAGUAGCUGACACUGAGGCGCGACAGCGUGGGGAGCAAACAGG
rnacentral:rRNA from 1 species